rnacentral:rRNA from 1 species
UGGGGAAUUUUCCGCAAUGGGCGAAAGCCUGACGGAGCAAUACCGCGUGAGGGAGGAAGGCUUUUGGGUUGUAAACCUCUUUUCUUAGGGAAGAAGAAAGUGACGGUACCUAAGGAAUCAGCAUCGGCUAACUCCGUGCCAGCAGCCGCGGUAAUACGGAGGAUGCAAGCGUUAUCCGGAAUUAUUGGGCGUAAAGCGUCCGCAGGUGGCACUUCAAGUCUGCUGUCAAUGACCAGAGCUCAACUCUGGGCAGGCGGUGGAAACUGGGGAGCUAGUGUACGGUAGGGGUAGAGGGAAUUUCCAGUGUAGCGGUGAAAUGCGUAGAGAUUGGAAAGAACACCAGUGGCGAAGGCGACUUCCUGGGCCAAUACUGACGCUGAGGUGCGAAAGCGUGGGGAGCAAACAGGAUUAGAUACCCCUGUAGUCC